GGCCAGCAGCCGCGGUAAUACGUAGGGGGCGAGCGUUGUCCGGAUUUACUGGGCGUAAAGAGCGCGUAGGCGGCUUGUUAAGUUGGCUGUGAAAGUCCCUGGCCUAACUGGGGAAAGUCGGCCGAGACUGGCAGGCUAGAGAGCGGUAGAGGAAGGUGGAAUUCCGGGUGUAGUGGUGAAAUGCGUAGAUAUCCGGAGGAACACCGGUGGCGAAGGCGGCCUUCUGGGCCGUUUCUGACGCUGAGGCGCGAAAGCGUGGGGAGCGAACCGAAUUAGAUACUCGGGUAGUCCACGCCCUAAACGAUGGACGCUAGGUGUAGGGGGUAUCGACCCCUCCUGUGCCGAAGCAAACGCAUUAAGCGUCCCGCCUGGGGAGUACGGCCGCAAGGCUAAAACUCAAAGGAAUUGACGGGGGCCCGCACA
rnacentral:rRNA from 1 species